rnacentral:rRNA from 1 species
UACGGAGGAUCCGAGCGUUAUCCGGAUUUAUUGGGUUUAAAGGGAGCGUAGGCGGGUUGUUAAGUCAGUUGUGAAAGUUUGCGGCUCAACCGUAAAAUUGCAGUUGAUACUGGCAUCCUUGAGUACAGUAGAGGUAGGCGGAAUUCGUGGUGUAGCGGUGAAAUGCUUAGAUAUCACGAAGAACCCCGAUUGCGAAGGCAGCCUGCUGGACUGUAACUGACGCUGAUGCUCGAAAGUGUGGGUAUCAAACAGG